ACUCCUACGGGAGGCAGCAGUGGGGAAUAUUGCGCAAUGGACGAAAGUCUGACGCAGCGACGCCGCGUGGAGGAUGAAGGUUUUCGGAUCGUAAACUCCUGUCAAGAGGGAAGAAACCUAUUAUGAAUAAUACUCAUAGUAAUUGACGGUACUCUAGAGGAGCACGGCUAAUUCAGUGCCAGCAGCCGCGGUAAUACUGAAGGUGCAAGCGUUAAUCGGAAUCACUGGGCGUAAAGCGCUCGUAGGUGGCUUUGUAAGUCAGGUGUGAAAGCCCACGGCUCAACCGUGGAAUUGCACUUGAUACUGCAUCGCUAGAGUAUAGGAGAGGGAAGUGGAAUUUCUGGUGUAGGAGUGAAAUCCGUAGAGAUCAGAAGGAACACCCGUGGCGAAGGCGACUUCCUGGACUAUUACUGACACUGAGGAGCGAAAGCGU
rnacentral:rRNA from 1 species